GUGAAGAAACGAAAGCGACAGUUACCACCAGAACCGACUAGAAAAUCAGAGAGAACGAAGAGAGUACCAGACAAAUACAAAGACUAUCAUAUGCAUAGCAUUAUUAACACUAGACCACAGUAUGAUCACAGAUUACAAGCAUUGGAAUCUAUGAUUGCUUCAGGUGUGUUGAAGAAUAUAGAAAUAGACACUGCAAGGAAAAUUGUGGAUGCUAUAAUGAAAUAAAUGCUAUAUUGAAUUGAUAUUGAAUUGAAAAUUCUACUUUACUGUACCAAUAAAUACAAAUUUGAGAUAAUUAAAUGUGUUUUAAUAUGUUUUUAAUAUUGAUUUAUUGCGAGGACGCAUAUGUUCCAAAGAAGGGGUGAGAAGAGAGAAGUUGAGCAUAUUUUUUUGCAGGAAAUAUGAUUAUUGAUCAUAAUUUGCGACAUGACGCGUAUGUUUUUUUCGCAAUAAGUAUGAUUAUUUAUCGUUCUUAAGCGACAUUUUGUUGCUUUGAAAUUGUUUUCUUUCGCGACGUUAUAUGCUAGCACGUUGUUCGCGAUAUUUGCGAGAGAAAUUGAUGUCGUUUUGAGACACUAUGCAAACAUACUGAUUUUAUAUGCUUCAAAUUAAAACCAUUUUUUUGUAUUGAAAUGUAUAUUGUUUAAAAAUACAGCAUUGUAUUUUUGAUGCUGUUACAAUGAUAUGAUGUAUAGUUAUUUUAUGGAAAGACAAACAUUUUGUUCUUAAUUGUUGGAUAACCUUUAUAAAGGGGAAUGUUUGCUUCCAUGAAAUGUUGCUAAAUAUAUUUUAACUGACAGACUAAUUGACAUGACAAUGACAUUUGACAUGACAAUGACGGGACGUCAUUUUCUCAAAGCAGGGAAGUGUGUAACCAAAGGGAAAUAAUCAGUUGUAGUUUAUUGAUUGAAAUCUGUAGGAGUGAUUUCCCUUGGCUGUUUUAUUAGUUAAUCAUGCGUGUAAUUGUUCCCGCCGUUUUCUGAGUUGUCAUCAGUUUUUGGUAGAAGGCAGACAUGUUUUUCAGUUGUUUAAAAUAAUAAAUUGGUUAUUAAUUCUUAAAUAGGAUUUUGGAUUGAGUAUGUUGCAGUAACAUCACAAGAUUGAGAGGAUUUUUGUAUGAGUGUCAUUGAGUCCAAUCCACAAUUGGGCUUGAUCUACUUAUUGAUCUACAUAUUAAUCUACUUAUUGAUCUACAUAUUAAUCUUCAUAUUGAUCUACAUAUUGAUAUCUUCUUGAUACUGAUUAUAUAUUGAUUGGUGCUUUUACAAGUGCUUGAUGUGAAGUUGUGAAUGUGAUGUGACUUUAACCUCUUGGGUUAAAUCUACUUGAUCUUUAUAUCGAUAUAGUAAUAUACUGAGAUCAUACAAUGAAUGGACAUUUCAAUUAAAAGUAUUGAACGAACUCAGCCUCGUUGAUAUUUAUUCCUUUACAUCUUUAAGGGCAUAAUUUUAACAAAGGUA